CCCCGAUAUCCGUAAACCCAUUCGAGCUGCAGUUUCUUAUCCGGCGGUGAAUUGUCCACCGGUGGUAAAUGAGAAGGUGGAUAAAAGGAUCUUCUUAAUCCUCUGAUCGUCACUCUGGCAGUUGACUUGUAGUAACGAAUAAGCGAAGCUGUAUGGAGAACCGUUUACUCGGACGACGUCUGAAUCAGGGGCGUACAAAGCACGAGGUCUGCUUUUGCUGCGAGCUCGUCGUUGACGACCAAUGUCUUCGACCACCGUGGGCGGUCCUCUCGACCUGGAUCUUCUUGCUGGAGAUGCAGUCACCGCACCGGCCAUACCUAUCCCGGAUCCAGUGCCCAAGUAGAACGUGUCCACGUCUGCGAAUUCGUUCCUCAGCUGCGAGAAGCUUCUUACCUGUUCACAAAUGGAGAAUCUGUUGUAUUUUCUGUUGGUGAUGUAUUCUAUAUGAAGAAAUGUAGAGGAAGGAAAUGCGGAUGUUGAAAUGAAUGAACCAAGACAUUUUCUCUGGUGUCAGAAUAGUAUCCGGAACGUCAUCGUAGCUGACGUAGGCGGCACCAGGUGUAUACGAUGAUGUAUAAGUCAGUCGAAUGCUCGCUAAAGAAAAUUGGUCAAUUUGAAAUUCAUAUACGGUCGUGACCUGAAAAGAUGGAUCUCUGACCUUUUUCCCCAUGGGCUCUCGUUCUACUUCACACACACUAUUCUGACUAAAAGACUGGUUUAUUCUUUUGGGAAUUCGAAUAAAGAAAAGUAAAAGAAAGAAGAAGUAUUGGUAUCUAAAAUUAUAUCGCAACUUUUCGUAAAAUUUCUUGAUCAGAAAAUAAGAAAGGAAAGAGUUUCAGCAACGACCCUAUUCCAUUUAGAGUGAAGUCGACCCCGAUAUCGUCACGCUUCGUUUCGACGCUUUUACCCCCACCAUCCUAUGCAUAUUUAUGGACAAACAUUAUUCAAGCAGAUUUUAUAAGUACGAUGGUGAACCAAUGUCUUCGAUUUGCAUAAAUCGCUGAUAAACUUUCGUAGUCGCCCACGUUUCGCUCGUUCACGAACGUGAAAUAAAUCGAUCACCAGACACGUCAUCUUUUCGAAACAAUAAUAAAAUUUUUCAUUCUUUUUGUAGAUAUACCUCUUGACCCGAAACUGUGAACAUCCUUUUGGCCCCAUUCAUCUUCAAUACUUGUCCAAGAUCCUCCAACACCUCCUCGAAUGGUUGAGAAGUGUUACUAUUACCUGUACGGUGUGAUCGUGAUUGUUAACGAUACGUAUGACACGUCCCGAGGAAGGCUUUCCACCACCAGGAGGUGGUGCUUCGUCGGUGAUUGAAGCUUUCCUGCUGAGGCUCGCCACCGCCGGUGGUCUACUUUGCCAACCUCCAACACCACCUCCGACGCCCGCUCCACCUCUGCUACCCGCGCCAGUGGGGCUCGUGUACCAGGUGUUAUUCUUCUUUCCAUAGCUGGCCGGCUGUUGGGUGAAAUAUGAAAUGAUGAAUUUAGAGAAGGAGACAUUAUGUACAAAUGCGAUUGAUGGAAUUAAUUCAAGUAUAUUGAAAUAUCAAAAGGACCUGCAGCAUAUCGGCCGGCAGCGAUAUAACUUCAAAGGAAUCGCUCAUCAACACGACAAAACUGUCGCAGCACUCCCAGGAUUUGGGGCUGCAGGACUCUAGGUCGGAAUCGGUAUAAGAGUCCGCCUUCUCGCCGGCGACAAAGUCCGGCUCCAGGUCCGAACGGGACGAGCAACUUGCCGACUCAAUGGUGAACCUAGAUCACUGUAAUCCCCCGUAACGAGAUUCACGGUCCCUGGAUACGUUUCAUCGAACGUCAAGCUCUACUUUUAUGUGUACAUUCACAUAUUCCUCACUUGCUCACACUUUUCACGGUGUCUCUUCAUACAAUAUCAGAUACACUAAUAACAAAUUAUUAAUAGAUGAACUGUAUUUUGUUUAAGAUGGAAGACUGUCUCGGUUGUCUAUGGAUGUUUAUAUUAAAAAAUAAAAAAUAAGGAGAACGCUGAGAUUCGACCUUGAUGAAUUGCUGAUUUAUAUUCGGAUGAAUCACGAAGAAAUUAAGAGAAACGUGGUGCCGAAGGAAGGAGGAUCGCGAGAGGGUUGUGCCACUAGGUGCAACCCCGACUGUGUUCGAUGGACAACUGGAGGCGGGGUGUGUGCUACUCCCCAUUGGGCUGGUUCUCCAGCCCUCUGGCUGCAACAUCCCCUACCCCCUCGCUUCGCUCGCCAGGAGGGCCAUCGUGUCUCAAGGACAAACAGCCACCCCUUCGAUAGAUGAUUCUCCAUUGUUUGGUAUAUUCUCGUGGAAGAAGAAUAAAAUGAUGAUUGGCAGAUCGGAAGUACGGUUAAAUGAUGCGAUAAUGGGAACGAUAUGGACAGCGGCAUUGGAAGAAAUCCUUCAUUGAAAAGCAGCUCGAUCGACCGAUAACCGAAUGUAUGUACGUUCAUCGUCGUGCAGUUGCAAUGCAAUGCCAGCUUUGAUGGGAUUGGUAUGAUAAUGGAAGCAUAGAUUAACACACGGUGAAGGUCAAACGACCCUCUCAUUCUCGCACACCCGGCCACCAUUUCCGGCAACCUACCCCUCUUGUGACAUUUAAUAAGCACCCAUGGUACUGUAAUCCGGUUGAUUCCGACUGUGUUGAAUUAAUGUUACGGGCCACUGGUGACUCGGAAAAUAUAUAACGUGUUAAUAACUCAAGGGACUUUUAAAGUAGAACGUCACGACGAUGAAGAAAAUGUGCCAUUUUUUACAACGUGAUUCUGCAUUAAUUAUUUGGGUCAAGAAGAAUAAUCGGUUGCAAGUAGCCAGCAAGAAAGCGAGUUAGUUUCACCUGAAGAAUAUUGUUCAUCCUUAUCAGAGAUUUAUUGUCAUUAUUCUGAUAUUAAAUUUGGCUUGUCCCUAAUUAUCGUCUGUGAGAAAAAAAAUAGAUUUCACUGGAAUAAUGAAUAUACCACAUAAAUUGCAACGUCACUAGCGAAAUCUCUCACGUGCUAGCCUUUUAACGAGCCUCGUGAAUUCUGUUCAAGGUUGCCUGGCUUCUUUAUUGCAACUAUCUGGAAGGCCUUUCGCCUCGUUACCUUACACAUGGAACCAGUGUGACUGUGGGCCAUGUUAACAAGGAGAGCUCUUCAAGUUACACAGAUUUUAAUAAGUUCUUACAUCUCUUCAUCUUUCAAGUUAACUCGCAGUUAGGCGUUAAGUCUGAUUUUAAAUUUCUUUUGUUCGAUUGUCUCAAUUUGAUCGAGUUCAGUCAAACUUGUAAUCAACGUGUUUUCAUCAAAUUGAUCACAAACGUCUAAAGACCAGCUGCUCACGAAGGUGUGUCUAAUAAUAAAUUACACUCUAAAAAUAAUUCUUCACCUCGACGUCAACGGAAUAAUAUCUUAGAUAGAUUAGAUCGACGAUUCUUGUGGUAAUUACUAGGGUUUGUCGCUGGGCAAAAUUAAGCUUCAAAAUUGUACUCUACCGAACGUUGCGUGUUACUGUUCACUAAACCGUGGUAGUGUUUUACGAAUCUCAGAGAUCAUGUUCAGAUACUCUUUCUUAAAGAACAAUAAUUAAUAUAAAAUUGAUACUCUUCGUACUGUAAUGCAUAAUACCAGUUUGAAAAACUUGAUGUUUUGAAGAAGACGAAGAAGAAAAGGAACUCCAUUGAGGAGAGUCUAGCCAAGGUCACGGUGCAACAAUCUUCCACUUCGAGGUAUGCAAUGCCGAUCGAACGGAAGGUGUAACGAAAGUACGCGUGGGUGCUCCCUCGUCUCGACUGGGUUCACCAUGGGUGCUACAACCCUUAACCUUUUAACGCAUUUACUCGGUCGUGCACCCCUUGCGUUGAUUCAAUCUUGUGGUACAACAACCCUCUUCAAUGGGUUUCAAUUUUUUUUUCUUUCUGUACUGAAAAAGGAUCAUCUUAUAUCCGUUAAUCUUUAUGGAAGAUUUCUAUGUUUGUUAUAGCAUCAUCUCUUAACAAUUAUGAUUUGACUUGAUUUUUUUUAGGUGUUUUGCAUAUUAGCUGUGAUUUUCAGUUCUCAGGAUAAUGAAACCCAAUAAAUCUUAGAACCUACACAUUCUGAAGAAAAAUACCAACUCUAAAGGUUAUCAAGAAUAUUCCAGCCUUCAAAUAUUUCCAUGUUAUCAAACUCCUGCAUAAUUCAUAUUUAUAAGAUAUUCAUCAUAGGUAUACCAAUACCAAUAGGAUUCACAAGAAUACAUUUAGACUUGAGGCUUCCUUUUACAUGGCGGACAAAAUCAUUUUCAAUUGAAAUAUAAGAUUAUGAACCAAAGUUUUAUACGGUCACCCUGUAUAAACUGAAGCAGCAAUACAUUUUAAAGGGGUGAAUAUCCUUCUUGACCAUUUACCUUGAUGAUAAGAGAACCUAGACGGUCGAAAGGUCGCUUCCCUCUACUUCAACCCUUCACCUUUGGAAACAGGUCAUUGACUAUGGAUUAUCAUUCAACUAGUUCAACCUAAUUGACUUCUUUAACUUCGUGUCACCAAGAAUUGCAACAAAGAGGAUGUUUUAAAGUGACUCGCAACAGUUGAAGUCCGGAUUUGCUAUAUAAAAUGUAUAUAUUUGCCACAAUUUCCAUAUGCCAUUUGAUGCAUGUGCCGGGUACGAUAAUUGGCUGGUGAUAAGGCCCUAUGCAACGAUAAGCUGUUUACGACGCGACCGUUGAGUUAAUUCGGCUCGGCCCGAUUAACACGAAACAUUUUUUCUUUCCUUCUUUUAUCAUCGAUCUCACGUGGCUUACAACGUAAGCUUGAUUUUCUGCGACGAUCGCCUAGCUCUGCUUAUUAUUACUUUCAUGCACAGCUAUAAGACACGAAUAGGAAAACUUGCUGGAACCGCGAUGGAACAGUGAAUUUGUACAAUUAAAUUCUGUAUUAUUGAAGCUGGUAACAGGGAAAGUUUUUUGAGGAGGUGCGUGACGAGUGAGGGUGGCACGCAAGGAAAGGUGUAACACAGAGGGUAGUUGUCCUGCGAACGUUCUGCGACAAGCGUGCAACGGGGAGCUGGGUUAAAAGGCAACGAGUAGCAUAGAGACGGGGAUGCCGCAGUGAUUUACAUAUCGUCGAUCGGUACACGUCAUCUAGCUACGUGGCUGUAUACGCACCAGAAACGAUCGUGGCACGACCGUUUUCUCGAAACGACGUCUAAUCGACCUACCGAAAUUCAUUUCGUUUCGAAUCCCGUCUCAUGCAUAUUCAGCCCGACAACUGGCGAUAAAUGAACAGACCUACGGAUCGCAAUGCGAACAAGAACACGAAUCUGCGCGUUCCGCGAUAAAACAUGGAAAGAAAGCAAGGAUAUUAGAGGUUCUGCAAUUAGAUGCAGUAGAUAUACCAGUGUUGAAAUGAUGUAUAUUCCUAAUAAUUCAGAAAGCACGAAACCCGGGACAAUCAUGUGUACACGUUUCCCUUAUUUCAUGAUGGUAAAUUGAAUCACUAAAAAUACCAGCAUACAAGACAUUAUCCAAAAUGCAAAUUUUCAUGCACGCUAAAACGUAACAACUCAGGGAAAUUGAAAAGCAUACGAGGAAACAGUGAAUUGAAAUUCUGUUGAUUGGAAUACUCAUUGCAGGAAGACAGUUAUGGAAUCAGAUUUGACUGAACGUGUGAUUAUUAGGCAAUUUAAGGGUAUAUCGGCUAUCAGGAUCAACGUACGGCGAAUUAAAGUGAACUGCCUUAGGGCAUGCACUCUUUUGAGAAACAACAACGGAUAUCGAAGAAAUUUACGAGCUGGACGGUUCCCUGGUUUAUCGGUGCAAAUAUUUUUCGUCCACCUCAUUAUUCAGCAUGCAAUUAAUCUAAUUGUAAGACCGGACAUGCAACCAGUUCGCUGGUCAAAAAAUUGAUAAGAAAGGACGAAAUUUUAGGGUAGACCUUGUGAAACUUGUAACUACCCUCCUAAUAUUCUUGAAACACGGUACACGUUAAAAGAGUUUAAACUUUUCAACUAAAAUUUAGGAAAAUUUAUGUAUCAGCUCUGACAUGUUUACGCGACAGAACUCGCGUCUGCUUUUCGACACGUUUUUUAAGAUCGUUUCUUGCUUUUUUAACCGACUGUUCCAUGGAAUUUCGUGACGCAUGUAGGUCAGAUACACGCAAAACUCUUUGUCUCGUUCAUUCGUGACUUCGGUGGCUGACACGAAUUUCAAGCUGACCAACGAUUAGUUCUUUCUAGACCGUGUUAUCCUCUUAUGAAUUUACGCUGCGACCCGGGCGAAAUGUACGGUUCUGAAAGAAAGGAGGACUCGUUAUCGCCAACUGGACUUACACCGCGAUAUGAAAAUGAAGAACGAGCAUGUAACGUGCGUGACAGAUCGUUUUGUGCUCGAAAUGUGUCGCAACGAUUACAAAGAAACAAUCGGCGACGAUUAUUCACGUGUUAGAACCAGGGCUUGGCGAUGAUCUAUCAGCGUUCAGAAAUAGAUGUCUUAACGUUGAAGAAGAAAAUAAUUGAUUUCGAACGGAAAUCUUGUGUAUCCUGAAAAAAAGUGCACAAGGGAAUAAGGAGGUAUACAUUUGAAUCGACGAAGAAUCCUGAAGAAUUUCAUCGUCAAGCUUCUAGAGAAGGAAUGGUAGAAACGCAGUUUGUGAAUCGUCCGUGUAGAGAAGUUCGUGUUUAUUGAUCCCUUGCGGGCUGACCAACGGUCAAUGAGAUACGGUCUCUCCCUUGGUAGCCGCCCUACGAGAGCCCUGCAUCGGUCUCCUUAACGGAAGUACGAACCGACCCACCGCCUACCCUCCAUCCUACCACGCGUGAUUCAUAUCUUCUUGGAGAGGCUCGGUGGAAAAUCAGCGCCAACAAUGAUUUCGAAGAAUCAAAAGCAUCGAGUGGCGUGACUCGACACUUAGAAUUUAUAAUUAGAACAUGGUUGCUAGCUGUGUCACGUAUACCUGACACUUUUGAUUUCUUACAAGAACGUAACAUUGGCCAUUUUUGUAUGCAACAAUCAGUAUUGUAUUUAAAAGAAUAAUUGUAGCAACCAAUCUCUAGCGGCAUUGUCCAUUUAUACACGUGUCCAAAUAAGUGUAGCAAAGUCCAAUUUCUUUCAGACGACAGAGACAAGUUUUCUCUUGACGACAAAAAUAUUGUAAAGAAAAUGUAGGUCGUAAAGAGGUGAAGAAAUGGCACAAUCAGAGACCACUUAAUGACACAGCGUUUAUCGCGAUGGAAGAAAUGGAUUGAUCGUUACUAUGAAGGAGGUGAAAGUAUGCGGACGGGUGCAGGAUAAUAAGGCGAUUGUUCGGUAAAAUAGGAUAGUGUACCAUUUCUCAGCUGGACUGAGGAUCAGGUAGGAGAAGAAGAAUCGAAGACAGGGAGAAAGGAAGCGAUUGCUGCGCAACCGCAGCCUCGAUUGUCCAGCCCUUUUCACCCCUACUUCCAGGCCGACCCUAUGGCUAUACUUGCUCCCCCUUUUCGUUCACAUCCCUACCACCAAACCGCAGAUUCACCUUACGUGACACGUCGAUCUUCCAUGCCACGUGGCUUUGGUAAACAAUGCUUGAAUCAACCUGACACAGGGUGACUGCAGUUCUCUCAAAGGAUGACAGAGGUAACAUCAAUGAAGUAAAGAAGAAAGCACUUGGCUACUCAUCUAAUACUUGAGGAUUCCAUUGAGUACUCAUCUAAUUUUGGGAUUCGCCUAAUUUUUUAUAUAGGUCAAGUACAAAUACGGGUCACGAAAAUGUAAACACAGAUUCUGGACUGCAAUCUGGUGCAAUCGGCAUGCAAAGACCUCCAUAUAGAACGAUAGGAUCGUGUAUAAGCUUUGACCACUUUACCGGAUUAACGGUUGACCCGGCACGAGACCAGCGCCGAUCGAAAUAACGUAUCGUACGUACAUAAAGCCAGGCAGAAACUGCGACGAUAUACGUUUAACGAGCGGCCUGGUCACACCUUAAAACCUAGAAAUCAGGUUGGGCGUGGGCCACCCUUUAACCGUGCCAUGACGCAGCGUAGGUGAAACCAAUCCUUCCUAUCAGCACCUUCAUAAAAAUAAUGAAUAUCCUGUGGCCUUACAGUUGAAUCUGGCUGAAAGGUUUCACCAGUUAAUUGGCCCAUUUUUCACUGAAUCCUUCUCGAUCGGCCUUACUUUUCAUUCAUUCUACGUCAAAGCCUCAAAGUUAGAGGAUCUUUAUCAUGGUAUAUUUUCCUUUCAGAGUCUUAUUUCUUGUCACUUAAAUGACACUUUGUUAUAUACUUUAACAAAGAAUGUGCUACGCCAUAGAAUACACUGAUUAACUAAUGAAUCUUCAACAAACCAUAUUGGCUAGGAUGUUCUAUUACAUAUGAUUAGAUCUUAAUCCUCUAAUGACCCUAUAUUAUCUGGAGCUAUGGCAUGAAAACUUAAGCAGCAUUAAUUAUUGUUUAUGAAGUUUCAAUUGCGUACAUGUUUAUCAUAGAAAACCAAUACAUAAAGAGUAAUAAUAAUCGUUCUUUUUAGCUAAUCAGUCAGAUUGGCGUUGCGUGUGGCCUGCUUAAGGGUUGAUCUGGGCCAGAUACACAAACAUCGUAGACGCUGGAUACAACGUACGAGGCACCGUCUUCAAGUUCGUCCAGGGUGAUCUUUCUGUCUCCGUCCAUCGAGAAGAUGUGCCUUGCUCCUCUUGGCAGGUCCAUUCGAAGGGACAAUCUAUCCAGGAGCGCCUCCAAGGAACCGAUGUCCCUUCCUGGCUUAAACCUACAAACGGUGAACUAUUGUCAGUCACGUUCAGGGAGGAUCUCAUUCAUAGGUCAAAAUCAAGGCCACGAAAGGUGGACACGCCACCUGCACCCGAAGAGGGUACUAGCGUUUUAAGCGCCCACAUAGCUUGGACAACGAGGGAGCACGAUUCAAACACAAUCACAGCGAAAAAGGGGAGAUAACGGUGGACGUACCUGAACUCGAUUCCAGGGAAAUACGGGUCGCCAUUUUUGUAGAAUGUCACCCUUCUGGCCCUCCAGUAACCGAGGUUGUUGUAUCUCGCGGGCGCCGGCUCGUGUCGGCUCUUAGGCCUGUGCUCCGGCUGCUCCGGAGGCGGCAUGCGGGGACUGGAGGGUCUACUCUGCCUCCAGAAGCCGGCCAUGCCGCCUCCACCCCCACCCUCGUUCGUCAGAACACCUCCGCCGACCGCCUCCUGCGCCGCUCCACCCUCCACUUCCACGUCCUCUUCUUCCUCCACGUCUUCCUCUUCUUCUUCGGCCUCCUCCUCCUCCUCAUCCUCGUCAUCGCUGCGAGCGCCUCCACCUGGCAUCGUGGUCGACGUGGUCGCGGGUGUCGUGGUCACCGUGGACGCCGUCGUCGCGACGCCGCUAGGUGUAGUUACUGUUACUGCGUUCGGUUCUUUCGAAGAGUUCUCGUUUUGCGCCACCUCUUGCUCCUCCUUUUGCAUUACACCUGAAUUUUAAUAAAAACAGAAUCAUCUAAACCGUUUUGCUAUUACAAAGAAUUUUAAAUAAUUCUUACAUUAAUUUAGUACUAAGACCAUUGUUUGUAUCUUAUGAUGUUUUAAUGUCUGUUCUAGCAAAAAUGUAAAUCUUUAAUUUUAUAGAGUCUCAUAAUGAAACGUAGAGCAUCGAGUAAGGGGAGGAGGGAGAUAGAAAUGCUUAAAAUAUUCCACAGGGGGUUGCACUGCGAGUAUCACUUCAAAGAUCUAGUUGCGUUUCUCAGAACAGUCUGGUGAUGAUAAUCUUGCUGGAUAAUUAGCUCUCUCACCUGGCUCCGAGGUAGUGGUUGCGGUUCCACCAGCCUCGUUGCCACCACCCACGCUUCCGUCACCCGCUACCUCCUCGUACUGCCCCAGCCUGGAGCCGGCACGCAAACUCGACUGAUUUUCAGCGGCGAUCAUCGGCACAAAGCCGACGCCUUUUGCCUCCUCUCCCUUUUCCGCUUCUUGGCUUCCUGAAAAUAGGAAUUUGAAAAACUUUCGACCACCAUCGUUGAUUCGAACUUUUCUUUUAAGUAUCACCAUUUCAAAAUUAAUUCACUUCUAGAUUAGUUGAUUCCUAUGUUAAUUAACUUCCAACUUAAGUUAGCUUUGAAAUUAAUUAAUUUUCAAGUUAGCUAAAGUUGAAGUUGUUGCCUCUACGUACCUUGACGAUCAACUGAUGGUAGCCAGUGUUUCCAACCGGUUCCUCCGUAAAAUUGCUUGUCAAAAUUGAUGGAUUGUUAAAUCCUUUUUUCCCCUUUAAAAAAUUCAAGGUUCUUUUUUCACCCCUACACCCGCAACACACGAGGAAGCGUCGUCGAGGAAGAAAAAAAGGCGAGAGCCUCUUAUAUGCCGGCAGAACGUCCACGUGUCGCGUGAUUGCCAGGGAUUCCUGAUCGAUUGACUGGUCAACCCUUACGAUGCACUUUUACAGUGUACCUGCAGUUUACUGCAGAUCAAUCGAUUGACUUCAUCUUGUCCAAUUUUCAGAAUACUUCCGUGUGUCUUAUAACACAAGUUUAUCGUGUACACUUGGGUAAACGAAAACGUUCCAUGGUUCAAGACCAACGUCACGUUAAAUGCUUUACACUGUUACACCCUUGAAGAGCGUUAUCUGAGGUCACGAACUCUGUGGUAGCGAUGUAACAGAUUUACGUUAGUUAGAUUCUAAGCUGGUUAAUUGGUAAAUUAGUUAGCUUUUAAGUAUUUAACAGCACAUAUCUAUUAUAUACACUGAUCUCGAACAAAGAGGUUCCAUGGUUCAAGACCAACAUCACGUAACCGCUUUACACCAUCGUCCACCCUUGAAGAGCGUAUACUGAGGUCAUGAACUCUGAGCACCGAUUUAACCAGCCAGAUAUCUUCAACCAUUGAGGCGCAUCUAACCGUAGUUGCACUUGCCAUGAGGAGAUUCGUUCUGUCUCAGCAGGGGGUGGAGCAUUUUCAUUCAUCGCACCCUAUUUCUCAUCGAGUUGCGAUUUCAAGAAGUUCACCACCAAUAGAAAAAGAAGAUAAAGAAAAUAUGAAAAUGGAAGAAUAACGCGUGCAACACCGUGCUUGAUCGUUCAUCGACACCAGGGUAAGAGAUAAGAGACCGGCGUAACCGCGAUGGUAUACAUAUUCAUGCGUCCUUCGACGAUGGCGUCCCGACGUCGAGUGUGUCGCUCCGAGGGACAGCAACGAACCACGCUACCUCGGCGCCGCCGUCGUGUUCCUCGUCCACGUCUACGUCGCCUUUCUCCUUACCUUCAAGACAUUUCCCGGCAUCGACGUCCGUGUCAGUGAACCGACGCCGGCGAAAGGAGCACCGAACUUGUUGCACCGCGACCAGGAAGCUACGCGCAAGCCUCGUCUUCCGCUUAAAUCGCCUCGACGAGCAAUGUACAAUGUCCAUGAUAAUCGAUGCAAUCAUCGCAAAUGGGAAAUCGAAGAACCUGUUAGCUAUAUUAGAACUUAUUAGAAAAUGUAAUUUUAUGGCGAGGGUAAUGUAAAAUUAAGGCUGAGCCUGGAUAAUAAUUUGGAAAUCUUAAAAUUUCAAUUGUUUUCGCUUGUACAAUGUUUAAGAGCUGUACAAUUCACGAUAUUUCAUAACGUGCUGGAAACAAAAGGUGAUUAAGGAUAGAGAUCUCUAUGGCGAGCUUUGGAAAAUCCAAGAUUUUGCGUGCAGAAGAUUAGGAUUUCUCAGAAGAAACGUAGCUGUAUCGUAUUUUAAACAUUUCACGCUGAAGCGUGACGCAUUACCAUAGCCGAUGAAAUCCGUUGGCGUAUAUUAAAAAAUCGACCAAUUAUAAUCUCAUAUGGAACAUUUGAACCGUGUAACGCGAAUCGAUUUUUCUGUAACAGCCACGUCCAACCGACUGGAACUUUGAUAAUUGCAUGAAAUAACAGCUCGAUACGGAAUAAUUAACUGUACAAGAGAAAAGAAGAUUUCCAGAUAGGAUUGUUAUAAUGAUAGGGCAAUGGGACGUUUCAAAAUUUAAAAACGCUCUAACUGAACAUGCUCUACUUUCUACUUCAUAUCUCCUUUUUCUUUUUAACAAUCCUCGAAGUUUGCAUUUCUCCGAGCAAGAAACACAGCCUUAUCGUAGGGCCAGCAGGAUGAUUAGCCACAUGAAGCUUAAGAAUUGCAGAAUGCGCGAUAUGAAUACAAGAUACAAGCUGUGGCCGUCGCGAAGGUCGAAUAACAAGAGCGAUAAUAUUAACGUUACACCCAGGGCCGGCCCUGAUCCUAGGGCCCCCAUAAGAAUGCAAGAAGAGUAAUAUUUACUUGAAAUCGAUGUAAAUGCAAAUCUAAAUUAGUUAUACAAGCUUUAAUGUUAAUUUUAUAAAUUUUAUUUCAGCUACUUUUUUUAUGUCAUAUAUGUGAAGGAGCUCGCCUCGGAUCUUCGAAAUCUCAGGGUAGGCCCUGCUUACACCGAUGCUUCUUUUGCAUAAAAAUUUACAUCUGCAUUAUUUAGUUAACUGUAUAAAAAAUUCAUUGUAAUCUCACAACGUUGCAGAUUUACGUCAGGAGAAUUUCGAUGGUCAUCUUUAUAAUAUUUCCUUGGCAAGGGGAAUAGUCAAUACUUUGGCGGGGUUUGCGUGUCUGGCGUUGAAGGCGGCUGACCAGAUUCGUUUCUCGACCACUUAAGUAAUCGAGCGACGGCCAAGCGGCUCGUAUAUCACGCUCUUCAGCUCCAGAAAGUCAACGUUACUAGUGGUUUGCAAGUACCGAAUGUUCUUUCCCACGAUGGAAAAAGGCAAUAUUUAGAAGUUACUGCUGUCGCGCUAGAAAUCUACGUAAGAAUCACCGAUGGCCAACGAGGUCAACGAGUUUUGUGUCACGGAAAUAUUGGUACCUCCGUUGAAAAAGGAACAAUUAGAAAAACAACGAGUUUUCCAGCAGAAGGAUAUGAAGAAAGGAUUUUCAAGCAAGAGCGAAACAAUUAGAAACGUUCCUCCUCCUUGGUAUCGACUUUACCAUAAAACUAUAAGGGCCAUUGGCCGAAAGUUAAUUCCUGAUCGAUGCUUUUUUUCUUUCCUUUUCUUCACAGUUUCAGAGAGUCGUAAAGUGUCGUUCUCGAUAAAGAUAAGAGGCCUGAACGAUAUCCGACGUUUCCCUAUAAAUAUCACGAAGGUGCGUGCUUGAAAUUCUAAAUUUAAUCAGUGCCCUUUAUUAGGCAAGCAUAGACGUGUAAAAAAAUAAUAACCAUUCGAAGAGUUUUUAUUGUUUUUCAGAGGACUAUUGAAUUUCUACAUUUUACACGUAAAGCUCUACGAUAGUAGAAGUAAAACAGAGUGAAAAAAAUUUUGAUAUACUAUAACGUUUCUAACAGUUGUUUCAGAAACUUGGGGCCGGUAAUUCUGAACGGCAGCAAUACAUUACACGCGGUCAGCACGACACACGUCCCGGAGUGGAACAAUCAUUACAGUGAUAUCGUCUUUGCGCUGUGUUACCCUACUCCAAAGCUUUCACCCUCCUACAAGUUGAGUGGCCUCCACUUAUCCUACUGCCAUCGCUGUCUUCCUUGCUUUCUGUAAUAUACGCUUGUUGUGGUGCAUUAAUUGAUGUCGUUGCUCAUACGUUUCCAUGUUUCGCAAAAGCAUGUAAAUUAUUUGAAGUGAUUAACGAAACACCAGCAAUUAUAUUUAUGAUCAUUAUUCAUACUUGCCCCACGAGUAUAUGUACAUGUUACACAGGGUGAUAUCUUAAAUUGAAAUGAUUAUGAAUGUACCUAGAUUGAGUUGCUAUCGCGUAUAUGAUUGAAGACCUAGUUUUACUUCUAUUUACAUGCACAACUACAAUUAUCAUCAAAUAUUACAAACUAUCUAUAAGGGUGUGGUUUAUCAGGUGAUGUUUAUCAAAGAGUUUGUAGGUCAAACACGACAAUACAUAGAACCAUUCACAUUUGGCUUUAACAAGAGAGUAAGAUAAGAUGUGGCAAAGGCAUAUUUUUCAAGGUGCAUCGAGGAAACAUCUCGUACAUCAUAAGGAUUAUCAGGAACAUUUCAACGAUGUCCUCGAGUCUUAGAUUUCCACCGGUUUCAGAUUUAGAACGAACCACUUCCAUGUCACUGAGCCAUGAAGAAAAUAAUAUUAAAUUAAGCGUGAGCACGAACGUGUGGUAAUGGCUCUUGAUAACUUAUUAAGCAAUUCGUUAAUUUACUGUACUUCAUCAUACAUAAAACAUCCGACUGGAAAGGCAUCGUACAAGACUCGAAAAAUAGAUGAAAAGCAUAAUAAGACUUUUGUAUUUCAUACAAUACGUAUACCAAUUAUUGCAAACAAUUCUUUACAUCAUCUACGCGAAGGACACAGUGUUGGCUCCUUUUAGGUGGUGCAUGUUUAGGGUUUCGU